AACGAACGCUGGCGGCAGGCUUAACACAUGCAAGUCGAGCGAGACCUUCGGGUCUAGCGGCGGACGGGUGAGUAACGCGUGGGAACGUGCCCUUCUCUACGGAAUAGCCCCGGGAAACUGGGAGUAAUACCGUAUACGCCCUUUGGGGGAAAGAUUUAUCGGAGAAGGAUCGGCCCGCGUUGGAUUAGGUAGUUGGUGGGGUAAUGGCCCACCAAGCCGACGAUCCAUAGCUGGUUUGAGAGGAUGAUCAGCCACACUGGGACUGAGACACGGCCCAGACUCCUACGGGAGGAAGCAGUGGGGAAUCUUAGACAAUGGGGGCAACCCUGAUCUAGCCAGGCCGGGUGAGUGAUGAAGGCCUUAGGGUUGUAAAGCUCUUUAAGCUGGGAAGAUAAUGACGGUACCAGCAGAAGAAGCCCCGGCUAACUCCGUG
rnacentral:rRNA from 1 species